rnacentral:rRNA from 1 species
AUGGAGCUCAGCCGGCGGCUCAACCUAGAGAGCCGCCAGGUCAAGUUCUGGUUCCAGAAUCGCCGCACCCAGAUGAAGACGAAGAUCAAGCGGCACGAGAACGCGCUGCUACGGCAGGAGAACGACAAGCUGCGGAUGGAGAACAUGACGAUCCGGGAGGCGAUGCGGAGACCCACUUGCGGCAAUUGCGGCGGCGCAGCCGUGCUCGGGGAGGUGUCACCGGAGGAGCAGCACCUGCGCAUCGAGAACUCACGCCUCAAGGACGAGCUGGACCGUGUUUGCGCGCUCGCUGGCAAGUUCCUCGGUCUCCCCAUCUCCGCCAUCUCCUCGCCGCUGAGCCUGCUGUCCUCCCUCUGCUCCAGCCUCGACCUCGCCAUCGGCGACAACAACGGCUUCAUGGGAAUGGGAUGCAAUCUAUCCCUGACCUGA